GCGCCCAGCACCCACACCCUCCCGCGCGGAUGCUGAGCUGGAGGAGAGCUGGGCGCAGGGUAGAAGGGCGCCGGCGGGGACUCUGGGCGCCUCCAGCGCUGGAGAAGUGGCGCCGCCGGAGGCAGACGGACCAGCGUUCCCUGUUCUUGACAUUCUACUGAGAUUCUAUUAAAUGGUGCCUGGUACUUGUUCCUCAAGAGAAAACGUAUUAAAUGCAACAUCUGGGUAUUUCAAGUGUGAUACAAGGGGCUGCGGAGAGCUGUGUGGCAGCCUUGACUUUCCAUCAGAGACUUCUUGAGAUCCUCUGAGUGUGCUUCCCGGGAGUGGCACGAAGUUUUCCACUUGGAGUCAUGUUUAAUGUUUAUGAGUCUGAUUCUGGAUGGUGGCCUGGCUGGGGCUGCGAUGAAGAAAGGGCCAGGCUCCUGCAGAAAUAUGACUCAAGUGGCUCUGAGGGUCCAAUUUCCUGUCUGUCAAGGGCUUGAGCUCCUGAUGUUUAAGUACAAGAGAUGCUGAGCUGGCACAGAAACUGGCAUCAUCACCAAAGGCUUUGUGCCAUGAGUAAGUUAUAUAGACACCACAGCACAUGUGGAAUAAGCCCGGCCCUCCUCUCAUGGAAGUGUCAACAUCAGGGACUGAGCUUGGCCAAGCAACACAAUGCAAAGCCGUCAAACUAGGCACCUCAGUACAAGGAGAGAAAGGCAUAUUUGGAAACCGACAAUACCACCAAAAUGAAAUACGUGAUGGAGCAGGAGUGCCCUGUCAUCUCACACCUGCUUCCCAAGCCCCAGCUGCAUGAGUAUUCUGUGUAUUGGAAGCCAUGCUGGGAGAGAAUGAAUUAAUUUUCCCCCCUGAGCUGAUGAGUUGUGUUCUGCAAUAUGCACCACCUACACAAUCAACUGAAUCCAAAAAUAAAAUGAGUGGAUGAAGACUCCAGUGGGAGGCACAGAAUGAAGAUAAACAAUAUGACUAUCUUUUAGGCCAACAAGAUAUAUACCCAGAAGAAGAAUUUGUGGAUCACAUCGUACCUCUAUUUUUAUUUUUUUAAGGACACUCCAUAUUGUUCUCCAUAGUGGCUGCACCAAUUUAACUCCCUCCAAAAGUGUAGGAGGGUUCUAUAAAGGUAGUAUUUUUAACCCUUAUUUUACAAACAAGAAAAUCAAGGUAUGGAGACAUUAAACUCAACUCAAGUCCCCCAGCUGGAAAGUGACACGCCAGCGUUCAGUCCUAGUACAGGUUCUGACCACAUACUGCUUGCUCUUCACUUUUACAGGGUCUUUUAUCCAGUGAUUAUUCAAAUACAAGCAGAAAUUUCAAAUGGGAUGAAUGUGUUCUCUUGUUGGAGAAAUAAAGCAACCAAAUGGGUUUUCUCUCACGUGUUGACCCAUACGACAUUAUUAGGCAAUAACUCUAAUGACCAGAGGUAAAUGUCCUAAAAUGCAAACCUUAAGAAAGCUGCCUCCUGUUACACGUUCUGCUCCUACCCUGAGCUUUGAGUUGACCUGCUUUAUCAGUCUGGCUUCUGCAAAACCUUUUUUGAGACAGAACUAUGUUUUCUUGGGUCUAGAGCCAGGAAAUUAUUUUUAUCUUUAUACAUUGGCCAUAUCUUUGAAACUCAAUAUAUAGUGCAGUGAUUUUUUUUAAACAACUGUGUAGAUCUGUUUGGGUCUGGUGAAACACAGGCUACAUUUUUAAAAUUACUAUAGUUUUUUUUUAUUAUAAGCAUGUUCAUUGUUGGCAUUUUUCAUUUAUUUCAUUUAUUUUUGAAAGGGCAAGAGGAGAAGCCAGUGUCACCAUAACUCAAGGCUGGAGGCUUGGAGGUGGGACGAUCUUCUGGGGUGGUAAUCUUAGAGAGGUAGGGCUAUUGUCAGAGUCUUGGCACCAAGUCAGAGAAAAGGCAGGACAGAAAUAUUCUGAUAUGUCUUUCCUCUUGCUCUCUGGGGUCUGGUUGGUGCCUCCCACUGGACAGACCCAACUGGAAGACAGAAGGUUAAGGUCAACUUUUUAGUAUAGGUCAACUUUUUAAAGCUCAGAAAGGCCAGCACAUAGAUCUUGUUGAGAAUGUUUGGGAAAUGGAGAUGGGAUUUUCCACUGGUGAGUUUCAUACCUGGGGACAGGGAAGCUGGUGCUGAAAAGCUUCUGAGUCACUUCUGUUUGCUUUCUGCUCUUUGCCAGCUGAGUACCCCACUGUUAUUCAACUUCUUCAUGCUAAAUUGUGGGGAUG